rnacentral:lncRNA from 1 species
CUCAUCCUACUGUUCCAAAUCUGUAUGCUUUGCUACCUCUCCUUCCACCAGAUCACCAGCUCUAUAUAUCCUGGACCUUAAAGAAGUUUUCUUCUCCAUUCCCCUGGUACUAGUUAGCCAGUCAGUAUUUGCCUUUGAAGAGACUAAUCCAAUGUCCAACGAGAAUAGCCAGCUAACCUGGACCUACUACUCCAAGAGUUCAAAAAAAAAAAUAAACUAACUAAGGGAUGAUUGAUGUUAUAUCUAAAAUAAUUACUAUGCUCUGCCAGAAAUAAACAUUUCAGAAGUCGAUGUAAAUUAUGGUCUUGGUGAGUUUUGCUUUAAAAACUCUGUACCCUUCAACUGGAGCACCAAGAGACUUUUCAAAGUCAGACCACUGGCCAUCUGGCCAUCAAUAAAAAGGACUUAAAACUUUUAAUAUGCUUCAUUGGCUGAUUAUCACUUUAAAUUUCCUGAGUUCAGAGUUCCUAACAACUGUUCCCAAGUUACAGCAAUUUAAUUCCCAAGACUUGAGAAUGUGUACAAUAAUCCAGUUUUAGAUAUGCACUCCAAGUGUAUGCUUAUUCAGGACCAGAAGGUGCCCAUCUCUUAUUCCCCUUUGGGCUGUACCCACUAGAGUUGCAAGAGGGCUGCCCCUCUCUUUGUUCCAGUGACAGUAGGAAAAAGGAUUGUAGCCUUGAGUAUUAUAGCUCUAAUCAGAGGAGAAAGGAGCCUACAACAGAUACCUCAUCAGACGGAUGCAGACAUUAGACAACUUGAAUUCUAUCUGCUCCUUGUCCAGACAGAGGCUCUGACAAAAGUUUCUUUCCAAACCGGUGAGGUUUAGACUCGUUUUCAUUUCUUAGGGAGGACUUUGUAUGAAACUAGGCGAGUCCUGUUGCUUCUAUGCCAACAAACAGGGAGUAUCAAUGAGAUCUUGCAAAAGGUUGGGGAUAAUUUAGAUAAGUGACAAUAGGGACAAGAAUUAAAUAAUUUGAUACUAUAAAAUGUUUGAAAGCCAAGGCUCACAACCCUUUUCAGUGCCCUGGCUCCUUACUCCUCCUAAUAGGACUUCAGAAUCUAAACAAAAAAAUCUAAAUGAAAACAAAUUAUAUUCCUGCUACACAACUGGGGAGAACCGCGAAGCCGCAGGAGACCAAGACAAGUGAGCUUAUUAUUUCCCAGUCCAUAUCCGCAUGCGCGCUCGCUCACACGCAUGCGCGGCACCACUGCUCCGCACCGCCGCAAGUUUAGCUGGGCAAUCCGCCUUGGUCCAGCCGGAUCACACUUAAGCAGUUGCUUUUUGAGCGUUCCCGGUUCUCUAGACCAGAUCCCCGUCCCUUCCUCUUCUACUCUUUGGCUCCAUGAAAACGGCCAUCCUUCUACUACGUCAGGAACGAAACCAACUUUCCACACGGAGAACAAGACCGUGGGACUCUCCGCACACUUCGGCGCCGGCGGCUGCGCGCGC